rnacentral:sRNA from 1 species
GACAAGGUGGGGCCCACCCAUGAGCUGGUCCAGAGUCUCAUCUCCACCUACUCCACCAUGGAUGCCAAGAUGGCUUCAAGUCGAGUGAUGCUGUUUUCCGAUUCCAAACCACUUGGGUCAGAGGCUAUAGAUAAUCAAGGGGACGAGUUCUCACUAUGUUGCCUAGGCUGGUCUCGAACUCCUGGGCUCAAGCAAUCCUCCCGACUUGGCCUCCCAAAAUCCUGGGAUUACAUAUGUGAGCCACUAUGCCUGGCCUGUUAUUCCUGUAUUCUAACUUAUCCAUCUCUUAUG